CACAUCCCGAACCCAGCAGUUAAGCCCUCCAGCGGCGAUGGUACUGCCGGGGCGACCCGGUGGGAGAGUAGCUCGUUGCCAGGA
rnacentral:rRNA from 1 species